UAUUUUCAGUCAUUUCGUGAUUUUUAGCGUUGAAAUUGCCAAGAUAAAUUUAUAUUAGGAAAGUCGAGGUCACUAUUCAGCCAAAACUAACUUAAAAUUUUAUAAUUUCCAUAAUUUUUCAAUUCGUAUAACGUGUUUGCCUGUCAUUCGGGUAGAAGUGUUGAGGGAGCCUUAGGCCAGUUUCAUUUGACUGUUGACAGACCGUGAAAAAAUUGAUGUAAAUUUUUAAGGUUUAAUUAUUAUUGAAAUUAAAGGAUAUAUUUACUACAUUUCUCCCCGUACAAUAGCAUAGCAGUGAUAGCACUUCGAAGCUCACAUCACAGAUGAAUUUUUCCCCAUAAUCCGAAAGUUAGGCACAUAUAAAUUCAUCAUAUCAAGAAAUGUAUGAAAUUCACAAAUGUCAAAUAUCAUCUCUCGGAAAGUCUCAUUUUAUAUAAAAAAAGCUUCUUCAGGGGUAAGCUUCUGAGCAAUUGUUUCAGAAGAGUUAGUAUUUGAAGUAUAUGAUCCAUUUGUCAAGUUUACAUAAUGGAUUUCAGAUUAAAUUACAUGCAAACUCACAGAAUGAGAAACAUCCUUAAUCUUGGUGUAUGAACAUAAGAAUUUCUAGAUAACAAACGGUUCUUGGGGGCAUAUAUAAAUUUAUCAGAUCAAGAAAUUUUUUUCAGAGUAAGUUCAUAAAGCAAUUCGUUCAGGAGAGUUUCCAUGUGAAGUAGAUGAUCUAUUUCUCUUCUUUUCAACUGAGUACAUCAGAUUUCUGACAACGUUCAAGCAAUUGGGUAGUGUAUGGAGAUGAUUUUCUUAGUCUAGAUUUAUGGCAAAAUACGUUUUGAGAUAAGUUAUUCUGUUGGAAUUAUAUAAUGAUUAUUGAAACACAAUCUAUGAGUGAGCUUUUGCGUUAAAAUUCUAUGUUUAUAGACAUUUGUCGAGUUUUCUCAUUCAAGGUAAGAUUUUUCUCUUAUCGUAGAGAGAGGGACUCUGUAGGUUUUUGUUCGAAAUAAACUGAAUUAAAUGUUAUAAUACUUGAAA